rnacentral:rRNA from 1 species
GCAAGUCGAACGAUGAACCGCUUUCGGGCGGGGAUUAGUGGCGAACGGGUGAGUAACACGUGGGCAAUCUGCCCUGCACUCUGGGACAAGCCCUGGAAACGGGGUCUAAUACCGGAUAUGACCGUCUGCCGCAUGGUGGAUGGUGUAAAGCUCCGGCGGUGCAGGAUGAGCCCGCGGCCUAUCAGCUUGUUGGUGAGGUAGUGGCUCACCAAGGCGACGACGGGUAGCCGGCCUGAGAGGGCGACCGGCCACACUGGGACUGAGACACGGCCCAGACUCCUACGGGAGGCAGCAGUGGGGAAUAUUGCACAAUGGGCGAAAGCCUGAUGCAGCGACGCCGCGUGAGGGAUGACGGCCUUCGGGUUGUAAACCUCUUUCAGCAGGGAAGAAGCGAAAGUGACGGUACCUGCAGAAGAAGCGCCGGCUAACUACGUGCCAGCAGCCGCGGUAAUACGUAGGGCGCAAGCGUUGUCCGGAAUUAUUGGGCGUAAAGAGCUCGUAGGCGGCUUGUCACGUCGGUUGUGAAAGCCCGGGGCUUAACCCCGGGUCUGCAGUCGAUACGGGCAGGCUAGAGUUCGGUAGGGGAGAUCGGAAUUCCUGGUGUAGCGGUGAAAUGCGCAGAUAUCAGGAGGAACACCGGUGGCGAAGGCGGAUCUCUGGGCCGAUACUGACGCUGAGGAGCGAAAGCGUGGGGAGCGAACAGGAUUAGAUACCCUGGUAGUCCACGCCGUAGACGGUGGGCACUAGGUGUGGGCAACAUUCCACGUUGUCCGUGCCGCAGCUAACGCAUUAAGUGCCCCGCC